rnacentral:rRNA from 1 species
AUACGAAGGGUGCAAGCGUUGUUGGGAUUUAUUGGGCGUAAAGCGCGCGCAGGCGGAUUGAUAAGUCAGGUGUGAAAUCUUGGGGCUUAACCCCGAAACUGCGCCUGAAACUGUUAGUCUAGAAUCUUGGAGAGGGAAGUAGAAUUUCGCAUGUAGGGGUAAAAUCCGUAGAGAUGCGAAGGAACACCAGAGGCGAAGGCGACUUCCUGGACAAGUAUUGACGCUGAGGCGCGAAAGCGUGGGUAGCGAACAGGAUUAGAAACCCUAGUAGUCC